rnacentral:rRNA from 1 species
UACGAAGGGGGCUAGCGUUGCUCAGAAUCACUGGGCGUAAAGCGCACGUAGGCGGAUUGCUAAGUCAGGGGUGAAAUCCUGGAGCUCAACUCCAGAACUGCCUUUGAUACUGGUGAUCUUGAGUCCGGGAGAGGUGAGUGGAACUGCGAGUGUAGAGGUGAAAUUCGUAGAUAUUCGCAAGAACACCAGUGGCGAAGGCGGAUCUCUGGACAGUUACUGACACUGAGGCACGAAGGCCAGGGGAGCAAACGGG